UGCAGCCUUAUCGAUUUUGGUCUAAACAUCACGAAAUUACCGCUGGACACAGCAACAUAUUGCCUUGUCGUGGCUGUAGAUUUAGUUGGUUCUGUAGUUGAUUCUCAAUAAAGGGACUCAGUCAACCCCUUUGUGGAGCAAGCUGUGCAAUAUGCUAUUGCUGCAUCCAAGGUAAUACUCUCUGAAAAGCAAAAGGAUAAAUUACAAAAACUACUUCUACAAGGUCUUGAUAUUACAAUCUUAGGAAGCAAUGAUUUAUACUCUUACAGAAAUCAGGUGCAAACCUAAGGUUGCAAAAACAGGACUUGGCUCGUCAGCAGCAAUGACCACAUCAGUCGUUGCAGCACUCCUUCAUUACCUUGGAGUUGUUACUCUUCCAUUUUCAAGCAGAAGCCAGUUAGACGACAAAAUAUCUGAUUCAGAUCUUGAUUUAGUACACAUUGUUGCCCAAAGUGCUCAUUGUUUAGCUCAAGGAAAAAUUGGCAGUGGAUUUGUUCAAGAUUUGCUGAAGUAGUGCUUAAGCUUUUCCAAUCGUAGCAUCGAUGACUGCCCACACUUGAUCUUGGCAUUCAAGAAUUGGUUCCGAUGAGCAAAUAGGCUGGCUACCAAUGAUGACAUUGUAGGUUGAUAAAAUAGUGGAUGUUGAUAUUAUGAAUAAUUCAAAUGAAAUACCUUUUUGUUUGAAAUUUAUGUAUGUUGUAUAUGAUCCUUUCUCAAGAAACUAAAGAGACAUAAAUACAGUA